rnacentral:rRNA from 1 species
GGGAAUAUUGCGCAAUGGAGGAAACUCUGACGCAGUGACGCCGCGUAUAGGAAGAAGGUCUUCGGAUUGUAAACUAUUGUCGUUAGGGAAGAAAAAGGACAGUACCUAAGGAGGAAGCUCCGGCUAACUACGUGCCAGCAGCCGCGGUAAUACGUAGGGAGCAAGCGUUAUCCGGAUUUAUUGGGUGUAAAGGGUGCGUAGACGGGAUAAUAAGUUAGUUGUGAAAUCCCUCGGCUCAACUGAGGAACUGCAACUAAAACUGUUAUUCUUGAGUGUUGGAGAGGAAAGCGGAAUUCCUAGUGUAGCGGUGAAAUGCGUAGAUAUUAGGAGGAACACCAGUGGCGAAGGCGGCUUUCUGGACAAUAACUGACGUUGAGGCACGAAAGUGUGGGGAGCAAA